rnacentral:rRNA from 1 species
AAGGCUGAGGCGUGAUGACGAGGCACUACGGUGCCGAAGCAACAAAUGCCCUGCUUCCAGGAAAAGCCUCUAAGCAUCAGGUAACAUCAAAUCGUACCCCAAACCGACACAGGUGGUCAGGUAGAGAAUACCAAGGCGCUUGAGAGAACUCGGGUGAAGGAACUAGGCAAAAUGGUGCCGUAACUUCGGGAGAAGGCACGCUGAUAUGUAGGUGAAGCGACUUGCUCGUGGAGCUGAAAUCAGUCGAAGAUACCAGCUGGCGUGCAACUGUUUAUUAAAAACACAGCACUGUGCAAACACGAAAGUGGACGUAUACGGUGUGACGCCUGCCCGGUGCCGGAAGGUUAAUUGAUGGGGUUAGCGGCAACGCGAAGCUCUUGAUCGAAGCCCCGGUAAACGGCGGCCGUAACUAUAACGGUCCUAAGGUAGCGAAAUUCCUUGUCGGGUAAGUUCCGACCUGCACGAAUGGCGUAAUGAUGGCCAGGCUGUCUCCACCCGAGACUCAGUGAAAUUGAACUCGCUGUGAAGAUGCAGUGUACCCGCGGCAAGACGGAAAGACCCCGUGAACCUUUACUAUAGCUUGACACUGAACAUUGAGCCUUGAUGUGUAGGAUAGGUGGGAGGCUUUGAAGUGUGGACGCCAGUCUGCAUGGAGCCGACCUUGAAAUACCACCCUUUAAUGUUUGAUGUUCUAACGUUGGCCCGUAAUCCGGGUUGCGGACAGUGUCUGGUGGGUAGUUUGACUGGGGCGGUCUCCUCCUAAAGAGUAACGGAGGAGCACGAAGGUUGGCUAAUCCUGGUCGGACAUCAGGAGGUUAGUGCAAUGGCAUAAGCCAGCUUGACUGCGAGCGUGACGGCGCGAGCAGGUGCGAAAGCAGGUCAUAGUGAUCCGGUGGUUCUGAAUGGAAGGGCCAUCGCUCAACGGAUAAAAGGUACUCCGGGGAUAACAGGCUGAUACCGCCCAAGAGUUCAUAUCGACGGCGGUGUUUGGCACCUCGAUGUCGGCUCAUCACAUCCUGGGGCUGAAGUAGGUCCCAAGGGUAUGGCUGUUCGCCAUUUAAAGUGGUACGCGAGCUGGGUUUAGAACGUCGUGAGACAGUUCGGUCCCUAUCUGCCGUGGGCGCUGGAGAACUGAGGGGGGCUGCUCCUAGUACGAGAGGACCGGAGUGGACGCAUCACUGGUGUUCGGGUUGUCAUGCCAAUGGCACUGCCCGGUAGCUAAAUGCGGAAGAGAUAAGUGCUGAAAGCAUCUAAGCACGAAACUUGCCCCGAGAUGAGUUCUCCCUGACUCCUUGAGAGUCCUGAAGGAACGUUGAAGACGACGACGUUGAUAGGCCGGGUGUGUAAGCGCAGCGAUGCGUUGAGCUAACCGGUACUAAUGAACCGUGAGGCUUAACCUU